AUUGAACGCUGGCGGCAUGCUUUACACAUGCAAGUCGAACGGUAACAGGGAGCUUGCUCCGCUGACGAGUGGCGAACGGGUGAGUAAUGCAUCGGAACAUGCCCAGUCAUGGGGGAUAACUACGCGAAAGCGUAGCUAAUACCGCAUACGCCCUGAGGGGGAAAGUGGGGGAUCUUAGGACCUCACGUGAUUGGAGUGGCCGAUGUCAGAUUAGCUAGUUGGUGAGGUAAAGGCUCACCAAGGCGACGAUCUGUAGCGGGUCUGAGAGGAUGAUCCGCCACACUGGGACUGAGACACGGCCCAGACUCCUACGGGAGGCAGCAGUGGGGAAUUUUGGACAAUGGGCGCAAGCCUGAUCCAGCCAUGCCGCGUGAGUGA
rnacentral:rRNA from 1 species